UCCUCCGUGGCGCAAUUGGCUAGCGCGUCUGACUGUUAUCUCGCUCAUCCAGAGUGUCCCGACAUCAGGAGGUUGACAGUUCAAGCCUGUCCGGGGGAG